rnacentral:rRNA from 1 species
UACGUAGGGGGCGAGCGUUGUCCGGAAUCAUUGGGCGUAAAGAGCUCGUAGGCGGCUCAGUAAGUCGGCUGUGAAAGCCCGGGGCUCAACCCCGGAACUGCAGUCGAUACUGCUGUGGCUAGAGUCCGGUAGAGGAGAGUGGAAUUCCCGGUGUAGCGGUGGAAUGCGCAGAUAUCGGGAGGAACACCAGUAGCGAAGGCGGCUCUCUGGGCCGGUACUGACGCUGAGGAGCGAAAACGUGGGGAGCAAACAGG